rnacentral:sRNA from 1 species
ACACAGGGAAGGAGGUGGUCCGCGAAUUGAGUACUUCAUGGACAUGUGAGGUAGCUACGCGCUAGCUGCAUUGGCUCGGAAGAGCUGGCGUUACGCGCGCUGGCGAAUCCCCCGUAGCCACCCGGCCCCGAGCUUUCGGUCUGUCCAACCGGAACUUCGCUCGGGGCCGCUCCAU